rnacentral:rRNA from 1 species
GUUUAUCAAAAACAUGUCUUUUUGAAUUUAAUUUAAAGUCUAACCUGCCCACUGAAAUUUUAAAUGGCCGCAGUAUUUUAACUGUGCAAAGGUAGCAUAAUCAUUAGUCUUUUAAUUGAAGGCUGGAAUGAAUGGUUGAAUGAAAUAUUAACUGUUUCAUAUUAAUUAAAAAUAGAAUUUUAUUUUUUAGUUAAAAAGCUAAAAUUUUUUUAAAAGACGAGAAGACCCUAUAAAUCUUUAUAUUUAAGUUUAUAAUUUUUAUAUGGAUAAUUAAAAUUUUUAUACAAUUAAAUAUUUUAUUGGGGUGAUAUUUAAAUUUAUAUAACUUUAAAUUUUUAAUAAACAUAAAUUAUUGAAUUGUUGAUCCAUAAAUUAUGAUUAAAAAAUUAAGUUACUUUAGGGAUAACAGCGUAAUUUUUUUAGAGAGUUCAUAUUAAUAAAAAAGUUUGCGACCUCGAUGUUGGAUUAAGAUAAAAUUUAGGUGAAGAAG